AAACAGUGUAUCUUGAGAACAAAUUUAAAUUUUAGUCUCUUGUGAAAAAAGUCAAGGUUCUUUAUGUUUGGUGUUAAGCUCAUCAAUUUAAUCUAAUUAUUGUUAGAUGCUAUUAGUAGCUGUAUACAAACACUUUUGAUCCAUUCAAAUAUCUAAAACUUAAAAAUAAAUUAUAUCUACUUAUUCGAAAAUACAAUUCUGAAGAUCCAAUUUUUUUUUUUAGUAACCAUUUUGAUAAGUUAUUUUUAUAUAAAGUAUUAUGAUUAAAUUGACAUCCUAGGAUAAUGGAGACAAAUCCAGCCACUGUUAUAGGUAAUUUAAUGUUUAUCUGUAAGCAACGAUAAACCAUUGCUAACAAAAAA